UACGGGAGAGGCAAGCGUUGUUCGGAAUCACUGGGCUUAAAGCGCGUGUAGGCGGUUCGGUAAGUACUUUGUGAAAUCUCCCCUCUCAAUGGGGAAAUUGCUCGGUAUACUGUCAAACUUGAGGUAGGUAGGGGUGCCUGGAACUCUAGGUGGAGCGGUGAAAUGCGUAGAUAUCUAGAGGAACGCCCGUGGCGAAAGCGGGGCACUGGGCCUGUCCUGACGCUGAGACGCGAAGGCGUGGGUAGCAAACGGG
rnacentral:rRNA from 1 species